UACGAAGGGUGCAAGCGUUACUCGGAAUUACUGGGCGUAAAGCGCGUGUAGGCGGUUGUUCAAGUCAGGUGUGAAAGCCUUGAGCUCAACUCAAGAAAUGCACUUGAUACUGGAUGACUAGAGGACCGGAGAGGAUAGUGGAAUUCCCAGUGUAGUGGUGAAAUACGUAGAGAUUGGGAAGAACACCAGUGGCGAAGGCGGCUAUCUGGACGGUUUCUGACGCUAAGACGCGAAAGCGUGGGGAGCAAACAGG
rnacentral:rRNA from 1 species